rnacentral:tRNA from 1 species
GGGCGAUUAGCUCAGCCGGUAGAGCGCUUGCCUCACAUGCAAGAAGUCGGCGGUUCGAGUCCGUCAUCGCCCACCA